UGGGUGAGGAGAGUAUCCUAAGGCCAGCGAGAGAACUGUUGUUAAGGAACUCGGCAAAAUGACCCCGUAACUUAGGGAUAAGGGGUGCCACCAUCAGGUGGCCGCAGAGAAUAGGCCCAAGCGACUGUUUACCAAAAACAUAGGUUUCUGCUAAGUCGCAAGACGAUGUAUAGGAGCUGACGCCUGCCCGGUGCUGGAAGGUUAAGGGGAUCUGUUAGAGCAAUCGAAGCAGUGAACUUAAGCCCCAGUAAACGGCGGCCGUAACUAUAACGGUCCUAAGGUAGCGAAAUUCCUUGUCGGGUAAGUUCCGACCCGCACGAAAGGCGUAACGAUUUGGGCACUGUCUCAACAACAGACUCGGUGAAAUUGUAAUUCCGGUGAAGAUGCCGGAUACCUGCGACAGGACGGAAAGACCCCAUGGAGCUUUACUGUAGCUUGACAUUGGGUCUUGGUACUACAUGUACAGGAUAGGUGGGAGGCUUUGAAACCAGGACGCCAGUUUUGGCGGAGCCAUCCUUGGGAUACCACCCUUGUAGUACUGGGACUCUAACCAUAGGCCAUGAAUCUGGUCUUGGGACACUGUCAGGUGGGCAGUUUGACUGGGGCGGUCGCCUCCCAAAAGGUAACGGAGGCGCUCAAAGGUUCUCUCAGUACGGUCGGAAAUCGUACGUAGAGUGUAAAGGCAAAAGAGAGCUUGAUUGCAAGACAUACAGGUCGAGCAAGGAUGAAAAUCGGACUUAGUGAUCCGGUGGUUCUGCGUGGAAGGGCCAUCGCUCAACGGAUAAAAGCUACCCUGGGGAUAACAGGCUUAUCUCCCCCAAGAGUCCACAUCGACGGGGAGGUUUGGCACCUCGAUGUCGGCUCAUCACAUCCUGGGGCUGUAGUAGGUCCCAAGGGUUGGGCUGUUCGCCCAUUAAAGUGGUACGCGAGCUGGGUUCAGAACGUCGUGAGACAGUUCGGUCCCUAUCCGUCGCAGGCGUAGGAAAUUUGAGAAGACCUGUCCUUAGUACGAGAGGACCGGGAUGGACG
rnacentral:rRNA from 1 species